UGGGUUUCUAAUCAUCUUUAUUGAUGACAUUAUGGUGUAUUCUAAGAGUCCUGAGGAGCAUGAGGUACAUCUGAGGAGAGUGAUGGAGAAGCUGCGGGAGCAGAAGUUGUUCGCUAAGUUGAGUAAGUGCAGUUUUUGGCAGAGAGAGAUGGGUUUUCUGGGUCACAUUGUUUUUGUAGAGGGAGUUUCAGUGGAUCCAGAGAAGAUUGAGGCUAUCAGAGAUUGGCCUAGACCGACGAAUGCCACUGAGAUCAGGAGUUUUCUUGGGUUGGCAGGGUAUUACAGGAGGUUCGUCAAGGGGUUUGCGAGUAUGGCACAGCCGAUGACUAAGCUAACAGGGAAGGAUGUUCCUUUUGUGUGGUCACCGGAGUGCGAGGAGGGUUUCUUGAGCCUGAAGGAGAUGUUGACGAGUACACCAGUGUUAGCAUUGCCAGAGCAUGGAGAGCCUUACAUGGUGUAUACUGAUGCCUCGAGAGUUGGUUUGGGUUGUGUUCUGAUGCAACGUGGGAAGGUUAUUGCUUAUGCAUCACGGCAGUUGAGGAAGCAUGAGGGCAACUAUCCUACUCACGAUUUGGAGAUGGCUGCGGUAAUCUUUGCCUUGAAGAUUUGGAGGUCUUAUCUUUAUGGCGGGAAAGUGCAGGUGUUCACAGAUCAUAAGAGUUUGAAGAAUAUCUUAACUCAGCCAGAGCUGAACCUGAGGCAGAGGCGAUGGAUGGAGUUGGUGGCUGAUUAUGAUAUGGAGAUAGCUUACCAUCCUGGUAAGGCUAAUGUGGUUGCAGACGCGUUGAGCCGUAAGCGCGUGGGCGCGGCUCCAGAGCAGAGUGUUGAGGCCUUGGUGAGUGAGAUUGGUGCUUUGCGGUUGUGUGCUGUGGCACGAGAGCCAUUGGGAUUGAAAGCUGUGGAUCGAGCAGAUCUUCUGACUAGAGUUCGGUUGGCUCAAGAGAAGGAUGAGGGGUUGAUUGCGGCUUCUAAAGCAGAGGGCUCUGAGUAUCAGUUUGCAGCUAAUGGGACUAUCCUUGUGCAUGGGCGAGUUUGUGUGCCUAAGGAUGAGGAGUUGCGACGGGAGAUCUUGAGUGAGGCUCAUGCGAGCAUGUUUUCCAUUCAUCCAGGAGCGACUAAGAUGUACCGAGACCUCAAGCGGUACUAUCAGUGGGUCGGGAUGAAGAGGGAUGUAGCUAAUUGGGUUGCAGAGUGCGAUGUUUGCCAGUUAGUUAAGGCUGAGCAUCAGGUGCCUGGUGGCCUGUUGCAGAGUUUACCCAUUCCUGAGUAGAAGUGGGAUUUUAUCACGAUGGAUUUUGUGGUUGGGUUGCCUGUGUCGCGAACCAAAGAUGUUAUUUGGGUGAUCGUGGACCGUUUGACUAAGUCAGCACAUUUUCUGGCCAUCAGAAAAACCGAUGGAGCGGCGGUGUUGGCUAAGAAAUAUGUGAACGAGAUCGUGAAGUUGCAUGGAGUACUUGUGAGUAUUUUGUCAAGCAGGGAUUCCAAGUUUACUUCUGCAUUUUGGAGAGCCUUUCAGGCAGAGAUGGGCACUAAGGUGCAGAUGAGCACGGCUUAUCAUCCACAGACAGAUGGGCAAUCUGAGAGGACUAUUCAGACGCUGGAGGAUAUGUUGCGGAUGUGUGUCUUGGAUUGGGGAGGUCAUUGGGCGGAUCACUUGAGUCUGGUAGAGUUUGCUUAUAACAAUAGCUAUCAGGCGAGUAUUGGGAUGGCUCCUUUUGAGGCGUUGUACGGGAGGCCACGCAGGACACCGUUAUGCUGGACCCAAGUGGGGGAGAGGAGCAUAUAUGGUGCAAACUAUGUUCAGGAGACCAUGGAGAGGAUCCGGGUUCUUAAGCUGAACAUGAAGGAAGCUCAGGAUCGACAGCGGAGUUAUGCUGACAAGAGGAGGAGAGAGCUUGAGUUUGAGGUUGGGGACAGAGUGUAUCUUAAGAUGGCCAUGUUGCGAGGUCCGAACAGGUCUAUCUCAGAGACUAAGUUGAGUCCGAGGUACAUGGGUCCGUUCAGGAUUGUUGAGAGGGUGGGACCAGUGGCAUACAAGUUAGAGUUGCAUGAUGUUAUGCGUGCAUUUCACAAGGUCUUUCAUGUGUCGAUGCUGAGGAAGUGUCUUCACAAGGAUGAUGAGGUGUUGACUAAGAUUCCAGAGGAUCUUCAGCCCAACAUGACUUUGGAGGCGAGACCAGUGAGGGUUCUCGAGAGGAGGAUCAAGGAACUUCGGCGGAAGAAGAUUCCUUUGAUCAAAGUUUUGUGGGACUGCGAUGGUGUGACAGAGGAGACUUGGGAGCCAGAGGCGAGGAUGAAGGCAAGGUUCAAGAAGUGGUUCGAGAAGCAGGUUGCUGCAUGAGUUUGCCUUUCCUUGGUUUCCAGUUUCAGUGUUGUUGAGUUUUUGAGCUUUUGAGUUGUUGUUCUUAUUUAUCUUUCAUUUGUAUUUUCGUUUGGAGUUGUAAUGAUCAUGACAAUUGAUGAUUAAUAAGAUGAGUAUUUUUUUUCUUGGAUUUGACUUGAGUUGUCUUAUUUAAGAAUGUGUUGUGCGGUUUCCAAAAAUGGAAAGUUUCCUAGAAAGGACUUGUCUAUUUUUGGAAAGUUUGAGUAAACAACCUAAGAGAAAGGUGUGUUUACGAGAUGGUCGGGAUUUGGUCAUAAGGAUGUUCUCGAGGGGAUAUGAUGGAUGGUGAGGCAUAGAGGUGUCUUACGCGAAUCCAUGAGAGAGUCUGGAGAUAUGCUUAGAAGCGUUUAGUAUUGUUGCUCGAGGGACAUGAGGGUCCCAACGACUCGUGAGGAGCGGGGUAUGCUCCUGAGGUACCGGUAACUCGAGGGACAUGGUGUCUUUAUAGUACGAGGGGUACGGUGGCUUCGGGUGACGAUCAGAGAGCACGCUUUAGGGUGACGACCCGAGAGCGAGUUUUGUGGUAUUAUUUUCUCCAAGUGUCGUAACUCGAUGACUUUGUGGCUGAGAGUGAGACGACACAACUCAGGGUUUGACUUUGAGUGGGGAAGAUAAUAUGUGUGAUACCCGAGAUACCGUAGGCCGAGGCCUGAGAGUGACGGUUUAUGCUCGAAGAUUGCGGUCUGAGAGUGGAGAGUGAGUUGUGAGCAACAAUGACUAGUAAAUCGUGAGUAUAUCGACUGGAUAGAGAGACCUAGAGGGGAUCUGGUUGGAGGGAGUGCGGACUGUAGUGAUGGUUGCACGGAGUUCCUCGGAGUGGAAGGGUGAAGCUAGAUUCGAGGACGAAUCUAUGUUAGUGGGGGAGAAUUGUAACGCCCGUGAACCGGAAAAUCGGUUAGGGUUUGUUUUUAAAUCAUCCGGUUUAAUUGGUUGGGUUAAUUGGAAAUCCUAGAGUGUGCCUAUAAAAGAAGGAAACUCAAAAUUAGGGUUUUAGUUAGCCACUUUUCGUUUUAUAAAGGAGAAAAAGAGAGAAAAGGAGAAGGAGCAGAAUCGUUAGGGUUUGGGAGAAAUCAGUUUCGUCAUAUCAAAUCGUGGUAAAAGGUAACGCAAUUUGGUAGCGUUAUGCCCAAGUCUUUAUCGUUAUUCUCCAGUUUACAGAAUUGGAUUUGGAUUAAAAUUGGUUGAGUUAUUCACAGUUUCGUGAGACACGUUUUCGCAGACGCGAAUUAGGACCAGCGGAGAUUGAAACUGAGAUCGUGGUCUCGUCUGUUUUCCGAUCGGCACGAUAUUUUGUGGGCAGCUUUGUGACGUCUGCAGCUAGAAUUUCACCGGAGCGAUUGAAUAGUUAACGGUUAUUUUGUAUUUUAGGGUUUCGUCUUUGAGACUGCUUGUUUUUGGUUUUUCCUGUCCAGUUUGCUUCAAGGUUGCUUUUGGUUGUGGACUUGUUGUAGGACGUUUCUGGACUGUUUCAGACGCAAGGAGAGUCUCUCCUUGGUUUAAUUGCUAUUAGAAUCAAUUUGUUAAGGUGAGUGCGUGACCAUGAGCUUAUCUAAGUGAUUGGGUUGUGUGAUUUGUUUUGUGUGAUGAUAUGUAGGUGUGGUGAAUGUGUUUUGGGUGAAUUGUUCAAUGACUGGUUUGUUUGUAUUGUAUUCGUGAUUAUACCCUUUUAUUUGCUUGUGUGUAUAGCUCGUAGAUCGGAGGAUCGCCUCACUAAGUAUUUAUGAUAAUACUUACGCAUCUCAUUGUGUUGUUGAUGCAGGUAAAGAUAAAGUGUGAUCGUGGAAUCAUGGCAAGGAAGAGAGGAUGAUCUAGGAACUCGUUUGUUUUAUUUUUGGUGUUUUUGGUUAUUGGAACCCGGUUAGGAUUGUCAGUUAUUCUUGGUUUUGUUGGUCGAAUUAUUUAUUUAUUCAUAAAAUAGUAUUUUUGACUUGCGGUUUAAUUAUUAUGUUAUUGGUUGGUUUAAUUAGAUAUUUAUGGGAAUAUUUAAUUAUAUUUAUAAAAAAAAAUGGGUCGGGUUGUUUCAAUUUCUAACAUAAGACUUGAAAAGCCCAAAGAUUCUACAUAGAAAAUAUAGUAUCAUUACAAAUUUGUUAAAGAUCCUA
rnacentral:sRNA from 1 species